GGGGAAUUUUGGACAAUGGGCGCAAGCCUGAUCCAGCAACGCCGCGUGCAGGAUGAAGGCCUUCGGGUUGUAAACUGCUUUUGUACGGAACGAAAAAGCUCUCUCUAAUACAGGGGGUGAAUGACGGUACCGUAAGAAUAAGCACCGGCUAACUACGUGCCAGCAGCCGCGGUAAUACGUAGGGUGCAAGCGUUAAUCGGAAUUACUGGGCGUAAAGCGUGCGCAGGCGGUUUUGUAAGACAGAUGUGAAAUCCCCGGGCUUAACCUGGGAACUGCGUUUGUGACUGCAAGGCUAGAGUGCGUCAGAGGGAGGUGGAAUUCCGCGUGUAGCAGUGAAAUGCGUAGAGAUGCGGAGGAACACCGAUGGCGAAGGCAGCCUCCUGGGAUGACACUGACGCUCAUGCACGAAAGCGUGGGGAGCAAACA
rnacentral:rRNA from 1 species